ensembl:piRNA 21ur-4207 ncRNA
UGCAUUUAAUAGACCAGCAGC